rnacentral:lncRNA from 1 species
CAUUACCUCAGAGGUGGCCGUAAUUUACCAAUAAAUUAUUUAUUAAACAUUUGUAGUCACAAAAGAAAGAAAAAAUCUAAUGUUCUCUAUACAUCAGAAGAUUUCUACCAAACUAGUAUUUAUAUUUGUAGAUAAUAUGACUCCCCAACUCUUUAGCAUCCUCCAAUUCCAAUCUCGUUCAAAUCGACGUACGAUUUUGAAUUCCCUGCAGUUAUUGCCCGAAAUCCCGCAGCCUGCACAAAUUUUCACGAUCGUCAAAAUUCACACGCAUACAAUGAUAUUUUAAUUUAUAUAUUAAAUCAACAAAGUUAAAACACAAUCAAGAAAGAUGGAAGUUGAAUAAUUCAUAAUGCACUCACUUCGCGCGGCGAAGAUCAGGUACUCGAUUUGUUCUUGAUU